CAGUAUCCAUUCUACUAAACGCUAAUAUCAUUUAGGGCUGAUGCCCACAAGCAGCAACAGCAAGAAGAAUCUGGGUCUGCUCAACUUUCGAGUGAAGUGAAAAGUACUUCUUUACUCGCAGAUCAGGAACAAAGGAAGUCUUUGAAAUUUGGGUUUUCUUCUAAAGGUGGCACUUCUAAGAAAUCAUCUGGUGCUACUACAAAGAAGCCAAAAGUAGCCGUUGCCUCAGUUUUCAACAAUGAUAGUGAUGAAGAAAAGUGAGGCCUAUUGUUGUAAACUUGGCAUGACCACUGUAUUCUAUCAGCAGCUCCAAUUGGCUAGCAUUUAUGUUGUACAAGUUAAACUGUACGUGCAGUAGUGUUUUACACUUUGUAACGGAUAGAGUUUGACCAUCUGUUUAUAGGUUUUGCUAUCCAUCCACAUAGAAUAAUCAAAUAUUAACAGACCAUAUAUACUGUUUUGAAAGUUUGAUUUU